rnacentral:rRNA from 1 species
CCUACGGGUGGCAGCAGUGGGGAAUAUUGGGCAAUGGGCGCAAGCCUGACCCAGCAACGCCGCGUGAAGGAAGAAGGCUCUCGGGUUGUAAACUUCUUUUGUCAGGGACGAAGCAAGUGACGGUACCUGACGAAUAAGCCACGGCUAACUACGUGCCAGCAGCCGCGGUAAUACGUAGGUGGCAAGCGUUAUCCGGAUUUACUGGGUGUAAAGGGCGUGUAGGCGGGGAAGCAAGUCUGAUGUGAAAUUCCAGGGCCCAACCCUGGAACUGCAUUUGAAACUGUUUGUCUUGAGUGAAGGAGAGGUAAGCGGAAUUCCGAGUGUAGCGGUGAAAUGCGUAGAUAUAAGGAGGAACACCAGUGGCGAAGGCGGCCUGCUGGACAUUAACUGACGCUGAGGCGCGAAAGCGUGGGGAGCAAACAGGAUUAGAUACCCUAGUAGUC